rnacentral:rRNA from 1 species
UACGUAGGGGGCAAGCGUUGUCCGGAAUCAUUGGGCGUAAAGCGCGCGUAGGCGGCCAACUAAGUCAGACGUGAAAUCCCUAGGCUCAACCUAGGAACUGCGUCUGAUACUGGAUGGCUUGAAUCCGGGAGAGGGAUGCAGAAUUCCAGGUGUAGCGGUGAAAUGCGUAGAUAUCUGGAGGAAUACCGGUGGCGAAGGCGGCAUCCUGGACCGGCAUUGACGCUGAGGAGCGAAAGCCAGGGAGCAAAGC